rnacentral:misc_RNA from 1 species
UCCCGCUUGACGCGGGCAGUCUCCCUAGAGUGCCCAACUGAAUGGUGGCAACUAAGAACGAGGGUUGCGCUCGUUGCGGGACUUAACCCAACACCUCACGACACGAGCUGACGACAGCCAUGCAGCACCUGUCUUACGGUUCCCGAAGGCACCCCCCUGUUUCCAGGAGGUUCCGUAGAUGUCAAGCCCAGGUAAGGUUCUGCGCGUUGCUUCGAAUUAAUCCACAUAAUCCACCGCUUGUGCGGGUCCCCGUCAAUUCCUUUGAGUUUUAACCUUGCGGCCGUACUCCCCAGGCGGUCAACUUCACGCGUUAGCUUCGUUACCAAGGAAUUGCUUCCCCGACAACCAGUUGACAUAGUUUAGGGCGUGGACUAC